rnacentral:ncRNA from 1 species
AAGUUCAAGGCGAAAGCCGAAAAUUUUUAAGUAAAGAAAAAUCUAAAUAUAUUUGUCAUCUAACCGAUUUUUAUACACUUGAAUAAUUUUGAACGAAAGGGAAUACGGUUCCAAUUCCGUAACCUGUUGAGUAUCCGUUUGUUAUUAAAUAUGGGCCUCGUGCUCAUCCUGGCAACAGGAACGACCAUAAAGAAGCCGUCGAGAGGUAUCGGAAGAGUUUUCUUUUCUGUUUUAUAGCCGUACUACCAUGGAAGUCUUUCGCAGAGAGAUAUGGUACAUGGGCUAGAAGACCAUGACAUAUACUGUUGUGUCGAUAUUUUCUCCUCGGACCUUGAAAAUUUAUGGUGGGGACACGCAAACUUCUCAACAGGCCGUACCAAUAUCCGCAGCUGGUCUCCAAGGUGAAGAGUCUCUAGUC